rnacentral:rRNA from 1 species
GACGAACGCUGGCGGCGUGCUUAAUACAUGCAAGUCGAGCGGUAAGGCCCUUUCGGGGGUACACGAGCGGCGAACGGGUGAGUAACACGUGGGUGACCUGCCCUUAGCUCUGGGAUAAGCCUGGGAAACUGGGUCUAAUACCGGAUAUGACCUCAUGGUGCAUGGUGUGGGGUGGAAAGUGUUUGCGGCUAGGGAUGGGCCCGCGGCCUAUCAGCUUGUUGGUGGGGUGAUGGCCUACCAAGGCGACGACGGGUAGCCGGCCUGAGAGGGUGAUCGGCCACACUGGGACUGAGACACGGCCCAGACUCCUACGGGAGGCAGCAGUAGGGAAUUUUGCGCAAUGGGCGGAAGCCUGACGCAGCGACGCCGCGUGAGGGAUGACGGCCUUCGGGUUGUAAACCUCUUUCAGCCCUGACGAAGCGAGAGUGACGGUAGGGGUAGAAGAAGCACCGGCCAACUACGUGCCAGCAGCCGCCGUAAUAC